UGAGGAAUAUUGGGCAAUGCCCGAAAGGGUGACCCAGCAACGCCGCGUGGAGGAUGAAGGUCGUAAGAUUGCAAACUCCUGUUAGAGGGGAAGAAUAACUAAGUUUGGAGCUUAGUAUGACUGUACCCUCAGAGAAAGCCCCGGCUAACUACGUGCCAGCAGCCGCGGUAAUACGUAGGGGGCAAGCGUUGUCCGGAUUUACUGGGUGUAAAGGGCGCGCAGGCGGAAUGGAAAGUCAGUGGUGAAAUCCUACAGCUUAACUGUAGAACUGCCUUUGAUACUUUCAUUCUUGAGUUCGGGAGAGAGAGACGGAAUUCCAGGUGUAGUGGUGAAAUACGUAGAUAUCUGGAAGAACACCAGUUGCGAAGGCGGUCUCUUGGUCCGAUACUGACGCUGAGGCGCGAAAGCGUGGGGAGCAAACA
rnacentral:rRNA from 1 species